rfam:Myotis lucifugus cont2.38203, whole genome shotgun sequence.
AAUAAGGUUUCUUUAGAAACCACCAAUGUUAGGUAUUUCUAAUUA